CUUCAACAGCAACCACAGAAGUAAUGGGCCCAUCAAGCGCUUGAGAUACCCAGCACAGCAGGCCAUAUGAAACUUUCUUGGACAGUAUGAGCUUCUGCUUCAUCCAGUCCUGGAUUCUGACAGAGGGGCUCUGAACUCUACCAAACACAAGGGUGUGUUUAUCUGGAAUCCCUUCUCAGACAUUUACAGCCUAGCACAAGCCUGAAGAAGAGGGAUGAGAAGCAUCGGAGAAGUAAUUCUGUGACCACACUGUUUUAAAACUGCAAAUCAAAUGGAUAAAGGGCCCAAAAGUAUGAGUAAAGGCACCAGAGGCUGUUGCCUUCCAACUUUCUAAGCAAGCUUUACCCAAGCCGUGGGAUUGUACACAUUCCCAUGGAAGUCAGAUGUGUGCCAUACAACCAGAGGCGCCAUUGGAACCUACCCUUUAUUCCUGGAUGCCACCUACGGCUGUCCCAGAAGACUCAGGCCCCAGCAGUCUGAUUCCUGACCAAGGGUUUUGGAGCAUAUAUUUCCAGUUUAUCCCCCAAUUUUUCCCAAGCUGUGAAAGUAAACAGAGUCAGUACUCUUUGUGGAAGUACCCUAGAGCCUUCAGAAUGGAUUGCAUUUGGGAGGUCUUCCCAAGCACCCCCAUUCUGUGGAUCCACAGGUUUCCUGGAUCUCAUUUCAUUCCUAGCUUUAUCCCUGUUGUGGUGAGUAUUAUCAAAUAGUUUUC
rnacentral:lncRNA from 1 species